AACAUAACCUAAGUAAAAUGGUUCGAGAAUCAAUUAAAAUGUGUAAUGCAUGUUUAAAACAAGUUAAAACAUACGUAAUUUGCUACGAUUGUGAUUUAAUCUAUCAUCCAGUAUGUUUAGGAAAAUUAGAAGGUUUCUUUAUAGAUUCAACCGGGAAAUUAUUUUGCUGCUCGAAGCCAACUUUAAAUAUUUCUACUUCAAAGUCCUCUCAAACAGAAAAUAUAGUUGCAGAUAAUCCAAACGAAAACAAAAAACCAAGAUAUGAGUGUGAUUUCUGUGAUUUUAAGGCUUAUCAUAGAUAUGUAUUAAUAAAUCAUAUUAAAAAGCGA